UACGAAGGGGGCUAGCGUUGCUCGGAAUCACUGGGCGUAAAGCGCACGUAGGCGGAUUGCUAAGUCAGGGGUGAAAUCCUGGAGCUCAACCUCCAGAACUCGUCCUUGAUACUGGCGGUCUCGAGUCCGGGAGAGGUGAGUGGAACUGCGAGUGUAGAGGUGAAAUUCGUAGAUAUUCGCAAGAACACCAGUGGCGAAGGCGGCUCACUGGCCCGGUACUGACGCUGAGGUGCGAAAGCGUGGGGAGCAAACAGG
rnacentral:rRNA from 1 species